rnacentral:rRNA from 1 species
UACGUAGGGUGCAAGCGUUAAUCGGAAUUACUGGGCGUAAAGCGUGCGCAGGCGGUUGGGCAAGACAGAGGUGAAAUCCCCGGGCUUAACCUGGGAAUGGCCUUUGUGACUGCCCGGCUAGAGUGUGUCAGAGGGGGGUAGAAUUCCACGUGUAGCAGUGAAAUGCGUAGAGAUGUGGAGGAAUACCGAUGGCGAAGGCAGCCCCCUGGGAUAACACUGACGCUCAUGCACGAAAGCGUGGGGAGCAAACAGG